CCUGACAGACAAUCUCAGAGUUGGACAGACAUCCAUAGUUGCUGCUCAGAUGUUUCUUUUUUUCAGAGUUUUGCUGCUAAGAAUAUCUCCUCAACAUCUGACCUCACUGUGGCCAAUAAUGGUCUCUGAAUUGAUUCAGACAUUCAUACAGCUUGAAGAAGAUCUUAAGGAGGAUGAUGAGUUGCUGAGAAACAGCAACAAAAUAAACAGAAUAAAAGUUUCAGUCACUGAUGGAAAUGGGCCUUCGAUGGGG